rnacentral:rRNA from 1 species
CGGAAGGUGAACCUGCGGAAGGAUCAUU